rnacentral:tRNA from 1 species
GCACCGAUGGUGUAAUGGUAGCAUUCCGGCCUUCCAAGCCGUCAGUCCGGGUUCGAAUCCCGGUCGGUGCA